UUUCCGUAGGUGAACCUGCGGAAGGAUCAUUAUCGAUGGCCGCGCCGUGAGCGCCUAGCGGGAUCGGCCGGCCACUGACCACACCCUUACUUUACGAGCACCAUUCGUUCUCCUUCGGCGGGGUGACCCGCCGUUGGAACCUUGAAACCCUUUUUUGCAUCCAGCAUUACCUGUUCUGAUAAAUCAAUCGUUACAACUUUCAACAAUGGAUCUCUUGGCUCUG
rnacentral:misc_RNA from 1 species